rnacentral:rRNA from 1 species
UACGUAGGUGGCAAGCGUUGUCCGGAAUCACUGGGCGUAAAGGGCGCGUAGGCGGCUUUGUAAGUCGGGGGGUGAAAGCCUGUGGCUCAACCACAGAAUUGCCUUCGAUACUGCAUGGCUUGAGACCGGAAGAGGUAAGUGGAACUGCGAGUGUAGAGGUGAAAUUCGUAGAUAUUCGCAAGAACACCAGUGGCGAAGGCGGCUUACUGGUCCGGUUCUGACGCUGAGGCGCGAAAGCGUGGGGAGCAAACAGG